GACUAAAUUUCAACUGUUCAACCAUUUACAUCAUUGUAGUCUGUUUAAGGCACUAAAAAUGUGCUGUAGAAAUUUAUAUUUCUCAGACACAUGAAAUGUGGUGACACAUCCAGCAACAAGUCAAACACUCCUUUGAAAUUUUCUACCUUAUGUCAAAUAUUUCUUACUUUUAAAGACAUUCCUAUCCUGGUGUAAAAUCCAACAUAAAAUAAUUUGAGGGAAUUUAAGGAAUUCAAAUUUCACUCCGUGGGGUACGUGGCUUUAUUUCUUAAUCACUGAACUUCUAGUAAUGUUCUUCACCUGAUCUUGUCUGCGAUGUUUAACCAACAGUCCAGAUCAUUUGCAACUCAAAAGCAGGUACAAAAUGUUAUCCAUCUUAAAAACCCCUCACAUAUUCCCUAGAAGACUGUCCCACACAUAAUUCGCCUUCCAUUAACACUUGUGAACCCAUCCUGGUGAAAAUAUUGCCUAUGAACAAUUAUACCAAAAAAUCAAUUUUUAUAAUGCAAAUAAUAUUUUACACAGACCAAGAGAAUUCAUAAUAUUAAAGUAUUUCUUUUAUAAAAGGAAGGUUUUCAGAAAGCAAUGGCCUAUUCCUUCAUGUUAAUACAUUGCGAACUUGGAUUUGGUGUAAAUCAAGCCCUGAGAAUAUUGCUCUGAAUUUCUAGCUUAAUUUCUGAGCAACAUUCUAAAGCAGUUCAUUAAUUUACUCCAAAAACAUUUCUUGGACACUUCGGUGUAGGAGAUAUAUAUUGCAUGGUCCUUAACCUAAAAAAUUCAGAGUUAAUAAAUCUUUGUUUAAAAAAACUAAAGCAAAUAUUUUUAUUUCAUUUAUUUGCUAUCUUUUUACAAAAUGUAUUUAAAUUAGUGGUGUGACUUGCACGAGUCCAUUUUUAUUAUUUGCUUAAAGCGAUGAAACAAGGAGUCUGCUUCUUUCAAUGUUCUUAUUUUGUCUAAUUAUAUAAGUAUACUUCAUGAAUCAGCAUGAGAAUUUUGAAUAUUUUCCAUUACAAGAGAUGAAACCACUUUUAAAAAUUAUUUAAAAUUUAAAAUUCAUUUUAAAAAUGCAUGGAUGUUCUUUUCCGCAUUGCAGAAAGUUUGCUUUGAUGUAUGGUUCCUCUGAGAGCUAUUGGACCUAGAUGCUGACUGAGCAUGGGGCUUAUACUUUUGGCAUCACAAUCUCCAAAUUAGCAAAUGAUAUCACAAUGGGUACUGAAGCUUCUUUGCAGUGACAUUCUUACAUGAAGCCAAAUCUUCGGAGUUUGUUCAGUCUAUGGGUGACUGUUGGAACCCUAAAAUAACUUAAAGUAGAAUUUGGUCAUUUAUUGUUUUUUUUUAUUAAAAGGUCCAACUGAGAACAUCCCUGAACAUCUGAACCAGAAAUUUGACAUAGAGCUCUAAAUAUUCACUCAUUCAUUCAUGCAACAAAUAUUUAUUUAUCAAGCACGUCAACCAUCCAAGGACUGUUCUAGGUACACAUAGUUGAUGUGAUGAAGUCAGCAAAUCUGCCUUCACAUGGUCUGCAUUCUAGUGGAGAAGUCAGAUAGAGGUAAGUACGAAGACCACAAAGCAGGUUAAAAAGUAAGGUGGGAAAGGGAUGCUAUUUUAGACAAGGUGGUCAGGGCAAGCCUCUCAGAAGAGGGGAUAAGUGCUCAGAGACCUGACUGAAGUGAGAGUGAGCUAUUGACACGGAGAAGGGCAUUUCAGACUCUGAAGAGAAAGCAGGGGCAGGCUUUGGAGGGAGAGCUUGUUUAUAUAGACAAGGAGGGGCAAAGAGUCUUGUGGAUAAAGCAGAAUGAACAAGAGUAAAUGGGAUUGUAAAUGAAAUUGGAGAGAGAAGCAGGGGUCAGAGCAUGGCAAGAUCUUGAGAUUUGAUUCUAAAUAUGGGAAGAUGGUGGUUAGAUUUGAAAAAGGAAAUGAUAUAAGCUAAAUUUUCUUUUUAAAAGGAUUCCUUUGGCUACUGAGUAAAGAGGACUCUUAGGAAGAAAGAUAAGAAUGGGGACAAAAAAAUCCAUCGUAGGAUAAAACAUUAAUCCAGAAAGACAUGAUGGGGCUUAGACUAGGAAAAGGAGAUGGUGAGAAGGAUUUGAAUUCUGGACCUAUUGUGAAGGCAGAGCUGAGAAGAUUUGCUGAUAGAUUGAUAUUGUGAUAUAAAAGCAAGAGAUCAGAAAUGGCUCUAGAUUCUUUUACCUAAACCAUGAAGUAAAUGAUGGUACAGUUGACUGAGAUGAUGAACAAUGGGUUAGAAAAACAUUGGGGAGAAAAUCAUGUUUGUUUUUGGAAUAUCAGUUGGAGAUGUUUAUUAGAUAUCCAAGUGGAGGCCGGGCACGGUGGCUCACGCCUGUAAUCCCAGAACUUUGGGAGGCCAAGGCAGGCAGAUCAUGAGGUCAGGAGAUCGAGACUAUCCUGGCUAACAUGGGGAAACCCCAUCUUUACUAAAAAUACAAAAAAUUAUCUGGGUGUGGUGGCAUGUGCCUGUAGUCCCAGCUACUCAGGCUGAGGCAGGAGAAUUGUUUGAACCCGAGAGGCGGGGGUUGCAGUGAGCCGAUAUCAAGCCACUGCACUCCAGCCUGGGUGACAGAGUGAGACUCUAUCUCAAAAAAAAAAAGAAAAAAAAAAAAAAUCCACGUGGAGUAGCAGGAGUGUCUUAUAAGCUGGAGUUCAAGGAAGAGGGUGAGCUGAAACAGAAAUCUGAGAGUAAUCAGUUUAUAAGUAGUAUUAAAAGCCAAGAGCCUGUAUGAGCCCACCAAAAGACAGUGUAGUUAAAGAAGAGAAAACCAAAGAUGGAGAUGCCUCUCACUCCAACAUACAGACCUCAGAAAACAGGAGGGUAUUCCAGAAUGUUCAGUGAGGUAGAGGGAAAACCAGGAGUGUGCUGUCCUGGAAGCCAAGUAAAGAAGGUGUUUCAAAAGUGAGAGAAUGGGCAGGGGCGGAUUGUUAUUGAGAGGCUGAGUAAAAUGGGAACUGAAGAUUCACAGUUGGACUAAAUCUGUUUGAAGGUCAUCGAUGACCCCAAUGAGAGCAGUUUCUAUCCAGUAUUGAGCAAGAAAAGAGUAACUCGAGUGAGUUCAAGAAAACAUGGGAAGUAAGGAAGUAGAAAUAGAUACAGAAAAUUCAAAAUAUUUUUCUACAAAGUGCAGCAAAAGAAUGAUGUAAACGUUGGAGAUAAAUGUGAGAUUGAGAGAUUUUUUUAAAAGCUAAUAUAGCAUGGGUAAUAGUGCUGGUGGGGCCAACAGAGAGAUAGCAAAACUGAUAAUGCAAAAGAGAAAGGGAUAUUUAUUUGAUAGAGUAACAUGCUUGAAAAGGGUGGAGGGACAGGCUCCAGUACAUGGGCAGAGGCGCUGGCCCUGGACAGUAACUGCAGCAGGCAGUGAGGUGGUGUGCACAGAGGCAGGUAGUUUGGGAAUACGGUGACGUGAUGGGCAUAAGUACAUACUCAUCUGAUUUUUUUUUUUGUUGUCUCAGUAAAGAUAGAAGUAAGGUUGUCAGUAGACAAUGAAGAGUUUGUGGAAGUUUGAGAAGUGUGAAAUUGACCUUGGAAACUGUGACAAUAAGUUACUGGACAGUGAUGAAAACCAUGUGAGCCAUAUUAAUAUAAAUACAAAGGAACACAGGUCAACUUGGUGGUCUUUUGUUCUCCAGUCAUGUUUAGUUUUUUUAGGCACAGGUUAAGAGUAAGAAAAAAUUACUAGAGUUGCAAUUUGUUUCUUUUUAAUUCUCAAAAGAGUAGUACAGUGCUGGGAGAGUACAUAAUGGGAUUUGGAAAUGGGGGCAAGAGAAUAAUUAUGAGAAGGAACCAUAGAAGCUAAGCUGGUCAAGGAGGGAAGUAAUGAAAUGGGGGAUGAUAGUCGCUGAAAACUUACCAAUUUGGAGUGAUGGUGCUAAGGGGAGUGACUAGAGAGAGAAGAAGUGAUGACCACAGCGUGGGAUGCUUGAAAUGGAACUGUUGGCGAUGCCAGUGAUUAGUCAUGACACAGUACGCAGUGUAACCAUGAGUGUGGUGGCUGAUGUUCAGGCAGCGGCAGAACAAGAUUUUCAAAAGUCGUCAAGGAGCUGAGUGGCCAAGAUGGUGAAUGGAGUAUGAGUGGGGAGGGUGAGUGGGUUAGGUGCUAGAAUAUUCAGUCAAUGAUAAGGAGACAUGUGCUUGUAAGAAGGUCAUUAGAGAGGAAGAAGGAUUAAAGGUCUGAAAGUAGCUGCAAAUAGCAAAGCAAGAUGUCUCCCCUUCAGGCCAAUGAUACGCAGGUUGUAGAGAGGAAGAUAGCUAGGCUUGAGAGGGCUGCAGGGAAGAUGGUGUCUUCAGGAGGCAACCAUGAUUCAGAGAAGAGGACAUAGGGGAGGGUGAUGGCAUUGUAAGAUCUAGAGGGGAUAAUGGAAAAGUCCUAGGCAGGGGGAGGCCAUUGGAGAUAGAAGCAAAUGAGAGAAUACACUGGGCAAUAUGGGGAUAAGCAAAUAGAUGAAGGAAAAAUGGCAUGGGAACUUGGACUAUUUUGGCAACAGGUAACCAGCGAUGAGGGUCUGAUGGCAUGACCCUGGGGAUCACUUCAGUGUGGUGCAUAAUUAAUCUAGUGAAUCAUGAGGGGGUAGGGAACAGGGAAUGGGUGUGUGGAGAAGAGAGAGUUGGGAUGGACAGUUACACGUAGUUGUUUAGACAUGAUUUUCAGAUCAUGGAUGUAAUUGUAUUAUCUCAGAAAGAAAGAGUGGUUUGGGUUACUUUCCUUGCCAUCAAUCCCUGGCAGAUUAUCUGGGCACGGAUAAACUUAAGAGUCUCUGAGACCAAGAUAUAAUUAUAUCCUGUGCUGGUGAUCAUGAUACUUUUAAUGCUGGUCAUAUCCCUGAGUCCAGAACCUUGCUACGUUCCUUAGAAGCUGAAACACUCUUUCAACAGAAAUAAUUUGAGGGCUGAUAGUUUCCAUUUAGUGAGCACUUACUAUGUUCCAGGCACUAUGUUAAUCCCUUCACCUAUUGUACUACAUUCCUCAUAAAAAUAUGAUAAGGGAGGAACUAUUAACUCUACUUCCAGAAAAAAACAAAUUUAGGCUUAUAUAUAUUACAUAAUUUAGGUUCAUAAAGCUAUGAGGUGGCAGAGCUGGGUUUGAACCCUGGUCGUAGAUUCCAAAACUCAUGCGUAUGGUACUCUAAUCAGAGUGCAGCUCUGCAGUGUAAGGAACACUGGGGUUUGCGGCAAGCAUUACAUUAUUUAAUGCUCUCCUGAAUUUUCAAGGUGUCAUAAUUAUAUCAAUAAUAUAAACUACCCAGCCUGGGAAUGAUUUUUUGAAGAAUAUCCCAGCUUGAGAAUCAAUGGGAAUGAUUACUUAAACUCCACCUGGAGAUUUUAGUCAUUUCAUAAUGUUACAUAUAAUAAAAUCAUGUUUCAGUAGAGCUGACAUCAUAGGCAAUUCUACCUUAAAUGUUCUCCAAAGGAUACCCAGACAUCUAGUUUGAAUAGUGAGGCUAACACAGUAGGCCCCACAUCUGAAAGCAAAUCCUUUCUCGAGUUUAUAACUUAAGAUUCAUUUUAAUUACCUAAAUAGUUUUAAAGAGGCAUAUACAGGAUGUAGCAAAUGAAAUCUUGAUACUACCUAACUACUUUGUAUCCUUAUUGAUUUCCAAUUUAUUCUUAUGUUAAUUGUACUUAAUAUUGUCUAGGCUUUUUAUUUGACUAACGGAAACCCAGAUGAACAUGCUGCUCAUGGUAUCCAUUGAUUAGUGCCAUCAUCACUGAAAUUGACAAUUAAAAUUGAUAAUAUCAUCCCUCAAAUAUCACAGGCCACAAAACACCCUGUGUGUGUGUGUGUGUUUGAGUAUAUUUGCAUUCCCAAAAAUUACUGCAAACUCACUGUGCUGACAUUCUCUUUGGCAUAAGGCAUGGAGGGAUUUAACAGCAAGAAGAUACAAUCUUGGCCCCUUAAGAAGCUCCAUUUAUCAAUAGAGUUAUCAGUGGAGCAAAGUGACAGGCACCGGGAUAAGCACAUUACAUACCACCAUUAACCACGGCAACAUCCCUACUUUGUAGGAGUUAUUAUCUCCACCUUGUAGAUGAGAUCAGACAAGUCAAGUUACCUGGCAUUGCCAUGUAUCUUGCAUAAGGCAUGUUGAGAGGCAGAUCUAGGUUUGAAUGGCUCUCAAUUUUCUGCUAUUUCCACUUCAUCACUCUCCCUCCUAAAUUGCUUCUUAUUUGAUAAAGAAAAUAAUCAGAUGUGGGAAAGACAGAAAGAGAUAAUGCGAAUGGGGGCACAAAAAGCAACUAACACUGAUUUGAGAUUCUGGGAAGCUUCAUGAGGAAACUGACAUUGAUUUGGCUCUUAAAGGAUGUUUGGAGCAUGCCAGCUAGAAAGAAGGCAAGCAAGAAGGACACAACAAUAGCAAGUGGAAAGUUCUAGAGGUAUGAAAUGGCAUGGCAGGUGUGGUGGGAAGUGGUAGGAGACAAGAAUGAAACUGGCAGUAGGACCUUUUACACUAUGUGAAGGGCUUUGUCCUGGGCAAGUGACAGUCAUCAUAUGUAAUGAGCAAGAUCAAGCUAUGGUCAGAUGAAUAAUUUCGAAAAGGCAGCCUGCAAAGGACAAAAGUACAGGAGAGAUGCUGGAACAAAACGCGCUGGGUAGGAUGCCUUCAUCAAAAGGUAAGGGAAAAGUGAUUAAAGAGAGCAGAUUAAAAAGGCAAAGAUGAGUGGAAUAGAUUAGCUGGUGAGCAAAUUUAUGAGUGAAGAAGUGGGUAGAGAAGAAAAAUAUGAGUUGGCUGGGCGCGGUGGCUCACGCUUGUAGUCCCAGACAAAUUAAGUGACCCGUCAUUGCUAUGCAUCUUGCAUAACUUUUGGGAGGCUGAGGAGGGCAGACAGCUUCAGCCCAGGUGUUUGAGACCAGCCUGGGCAAUAUGGCGAAACCCUGUCUCUACAAAAGAAAAUACAAAAAUUAGCUGGGCAUGGUGGCGUAUGCCUGCAGUCCCAGCUACUCGGGAGGCUG
rnacentral:lncRNA from 1 species